rnacentral:misc_RNA from 1 species
UCCUCUUUACAGAGGCAGUUCGUUCCGAGUCUCCGACAUUACUCGCUGGUAACAGAACGUGAGGGUUGCGCUCGUUGCGGGACUUAACCCAACAUUUCACAACACGAGCUGACGACAGCCAUGCACCACCUGUGCACUGGCCCCGAAGGGAGGGUGUGUUUCCACACCGGUCACGAACAUGUCAAGCCCAGGUAAGGUUCUUCGCGUUGCGUCGAAUUAAACCACAUGCUCCGCUGCUUGUGCGGGCCCCCGUCAAUUCCUUUGAGUUUUAGCCUUGCGGCCGUAGUUCCCAGGCGGAAUGCUUAACGCGUGAGCUUCGACACAGGGGGGGUCGAUACCCCCUAUAUCCAGCAUUCAUCGUUUAGGGCGUGGACUAC